GAAGAAGAUCGUGCACCAGCUUGGCUAUUACCAGCCACAAGUAACUACAAUUUCAUAAGAUUGCCAUGAAGACUUCUGAAACUGACAAGAAAUCAAAAUUCCUGUCUGAGGACUUCUUCCUGUGUGAGGAACUCUAACUGAAUUGGUCAUGCAGUCUGCAUAGUGAUCCCUUAGGUAUUUAUGGAGGACAUGCUUUGUAAUAAGCUCAGGAGAUAGAACAUCCUUUCCCACGGGGGACACGCACAUCAGUGAAAAAGAUUGGCCUAUGAAGACCUAUCACAUAGGUAUAUGAGUGUUGUAAUAAAAGUGAAUGAUAGCAAAGUGGAUGCAGACAGGAGACACACCCCAGUUACUAACGUCUUGGAUACCAGAAUGGUGCUUAAAAAAGAAGCCAGAAUGUCAUGGAUGAAGAAAUAGCCUGCACUUCUACUCCUCCUAGUUAAAAAUAACAAAGAUCUAGAUCCCAAAGCAUUUACUCUGGUGGGCACAAUAGCAAGAUUCCUUCUGAUUGGUAACUGGAGUGAGCAGAGUUACACAGUCUUCCCAAUGGUGCAGAAUUAUUUUAUAAUUAGAGUGUUUUCCUUCACUCCAUCAAAAGGCUGCGGGAGUUAUGAAAGAUGAUAGAAAACUAAUUUUUUUUCUAGUUUCAACUGUAAUAUGUUUCUCCCCACCCCCCCUCCCCGUGGUAUGUAUGUAAAUUCAACUUUUUGUGUAAUGAAGUAGCAAGAACCACGCUUGUGUUACAGGAGAACGGGCGACUCCUUUGAGGUCGUGAUUGGGCUUGCAUGUUCAUUAUGUUCUCCAUCAGUGGACUAGGAAUUAGCCACAAUUAGUCACUGUGUGCAUUUGUCACACUGACUGAGUUAGAAAAAGUGUUUUUUUGUUUUUUAAAAAGAUACAUUUGUUUUGGGAUGGGAAAGGUUUUUGCUAAGCUCUCCCAUUCUGUUCUGUCUAAAACUAGAUCAAAUUAUUUUGUUACAGUUAUUUAAUGUGUAAGUGAUAUCACUAUACAUAAAGCAUGUCUUUUAAAAACAAUGCUUUCUUUCAAAAUAGUGGUUGCUCAUAUUCAUGGCGUUCGCAGCUAUGUUAAGUGAGGAAAUCUGAUGUUCAUACUUUGUUUUCCUGACUGUUUCCGAAAGGAGAUGGGAACUUGCAGAUGCCAGGGGUGGGGGGGACACUCUGUAAAGAACAAUGGUUUUCUCUGGGCUGAGUUCAACCCCACCUUUGUCAGUAACUGGGUGAACAUGAUUGUUCUACUUAGCCUCUCUGUCGUUCCAUUUCCUGGACAACACAGUAAGGAUAAUAAAAUCUGCUUCAGAAAGACAAAAUUAAAGAAUUAAAGACAGGACUCUGCAGACCUGCCAGCCUAGUGUUCAGUGAGCACUGGCUUGUCUUCUGUAUGACACUGGUUAUAGAGCAGUGGCAGGUCAGGAAGACCUGAACUGGAUUGGUCAAGACUUGGAGGCUCAGUGUGGACUCAGGAUGAUCCAGUCCUGGCGGCACCCAGUUUUUGUGAGUUUUACUUGGGGAAACCUAACCAAUUUCUCACAGAAAAUGCUGGUGGUAACCACCUCAUUCUGCAAGCGGGGGAGGGAAAACAGCUAUUUUUGAAAUAGUCAUCAGUUUCUAAUAACGUCUGCCUUCAGGAGAAGCGAGAAAACCGGCGUGUAACCUGCUGGGAGUUUAUCACGGCUCACAAGACAUGGGAAGAAGUGACCAGCUCUGGCAGAUCUAGGCUCUCCUAUGGAGUUCAGAUGUAGAUCUCAUACGUUAGUUCACUCCAGCCGUCCUGUCCUCCGACAGAGAGAGAAAGAUUCUGAGGUCACAUAUGCCAUUUACAGGCCAGAGGCAGUGGCUCACUAAUACAGACAGAAUUCGCAGGAUUAUAAGCAUGCUUUCUUCCAUGUACAUACUUCAGUUCCUUUUACUCAUUACCGCAUGUCUGGCCUUGAAGACAAUGGUCACAAAGCUUACUGAGAGUCAAGAAACAAUGGGAAGAGAUUGGGAAGCAUCAGAACCGGAUGCAGCCUCCUUAUCAGACAAAAAGUUUGUUUUAUUAAAAAGUUUUUUCAU
ensembl:macro_lncRNA Gm35066 uncharacterized LOC110291455